rnacentral:rRNA from 1 species
UACGAAGGGGGCUAGCGUUGCCUCGGAAUCACUGGGCGUAAAGCGCACGUAGGCGGCUUACUAAGUCAGGGGUGAAAUCCUGGAGCUCAACUCCAGAACUGCCUUUGAUACUGGUGAGCUUGAGUCCGGAAGAGGGUGAGUGGAACUGCGAGUGUAGAGGUGAAAUUCGUAGAUAUUAGGAAGAACACCGGUGGCGAAGGCGGCCCACUGGAUCGGUACUGACGCUGAGGUGCGAAAGCGUGGGGAGC